GAUGAACGCUAGCGGCAGGCCUAAUACAUGCAAGUCGAGGGGCAGCGCGGUAGCAAUACUGGCGGCGACCGGCGCACGGGUGCGUAACACGUAUGCAACCUACCUUCAACUGGAGGAUAGCCCGGGGAAACUCGGAUUAAUACCCCAUAACACAGGGAUCCCGCAUGGGAAUAUUGUUAAAGCUACGGCGGUUGAAGAUGGGCAUGCGUUCGAUUAGCUAGUUGGUGUAGGUAACGGCUCACCAAGGCUACGAUCGAUAGGGGGUCUGAGAGGAUGAUCCCCCACACUGGUACUGAGAUACGGACCAGACUCCUACGGGAGGCAGCAGUAGGGAAUAUUGGUCAAAUGGGCGCAAGGCCUGAACCAGCCAAUGCCGCGUGCAGGAAGAAGGCCCUCUGGGUUGUAAAACUGCUUUUGAUAGGGACAAAUGCCACUUGCGAGUGGAGCUGAGUGUACCUAUAGAAUAAGCACCGGGCUAAACUCCGUGCCAGCAGCCGCGGUAA
rnacentral:rRNA from 1 species